rnacentral:rRNA from 1 species
UACAGAGGGUGCAAGCGUUAAUCGGAAUUACUGGGCGUAAAGCGUGCGUAGACGGUUAUGUAAGUCGGGUGUGAAAGCCCCGGGCUCAACCUGGGAAUUGCAUUCGAGACUGUGUAGCUAGGGUACGGAAGAGGGAAGCGGAAUUUCAGGUGUAGCGGUGAAAUGCGUAGAUAUCUGAAGGAACACCAGUGGCGAAAGCGGCCUUCUGGACAGUGACUGACGCUGAGAUGCGAAAGCGUGGGGAGCAAACAGG